GAUGAACGCUGGCGGCGUGCCUAAUACAUGCGAGUCGAGCGAACAAACGAGGAGCUUGCUCCUCUGACGUUAGCGGCGGACGGGUGAGUAACACGUGGAUAACCUACCUAUAAGACUGGGAUAACUUCGGGAAACCGGAGCUAAUACCGGAUAAUAUAUUGAACCGCAUGGUUCAAUAGUGAAAGACGGUUUUGCUGUCACUUAUAGAUGGGUCCGCGCCGCAUUAGCUAGUUGGUAAGGUAACGGCUUACCAAGGCAACGAUGCGUAGCCGACCUGAGAGGGUGAUCGGCCACACUGGAACUGAGACACGGUCCAGACUCCUACGGGAGGCAGCAGUAGGGAAUCUUCCGCAAUGGGCGAAAGCCUGACGGAGCAACGCCGCGUGAGUGAUGAAGGUCUUCGGAUCGUAAAACCCUGUUAUUAGGGAAGAACAAAUGUGUAAGUAACUAUGCACGUCUUGACGGUACCUAAUCAGAAAGCCACGGCUAACUACGUG
rnacentral:rRNA from 1 species